UACGGAAGGCAGCAGUGGGGAAUAUUGCACAAUGGGCGAAAGCCUGAUGCAGCUAUGCCGCGUGUAUGAAGAAGGCCUUAGGGUUGUAAAGUACUUUCAGCAGGGAGGAAAGAAAUAAAACUAAUAAUUUUAUUUUGUGACGUUACCUGAAGAAGAAGCACCGGCUAACUCCGUGCCAGCAGCCGCGGUAAUACGGAGGGUGCAAGCGUUAAUCAGAAUUACUGGGCGUAAAGAGCGCGUAGGUGGUUUUUUUAAAGUCAGAUGUGAAAUCCCUAGGCUUAACCUAGGAACUGCAUUUUGAAACUGAAAAACUAGAGUAUCGUAGAGGGAGGUAGAAUUCUAGGUGUAGCGGUGAAAUGCGUAGAUAUCUGGAGGAAUACCUGUGGCGAAAGCGGCCUCCUAAACGAAUACUGACACUGAGGUGCGAAAGCGUGGGGAGCAAAACAGGGAUUAGAUACC
rnacentral:rRNA from 1 species